UUUUGCUGCGGUCUAGCGCGGGAGGCGGGGCUUUGGGUUCGCGGGGCUUUGGGUUCGCUGGUUCAGGUGCGCGAGGUGUCCCAGGUCUUCGCGCCAGGUUGGCGCGGGAGAAGGCCGAGGUGCCCCAGAGUUCGAGGAGUUGGUGACGGUCACGCGGUGCGACGCUCCAUGGCGGAGGGGCAGUCGGAAAGUGAAUAGCAGUCGUUAAAAGCGACCAGUCCGUAAGGGCGCGUGUGCCGGCGCUCUUACGGACCCCAGCGCUCGGGGUCGUUAAACCGUUUAAGUCGCGCCCCGCCCAGUGAGGGCUAUGUUAGCGUCCUCGCCGUUUCCAGCCGUGAAGGAGGCACUGAGACGACAGCUGAGGGUCACUCCGUUAAGGCUGUCGCUGCUGUAGGGGCCCUCGCCCCGCUGCGUGUUUGUGCCACCCAGCGUACUGGGUGCUUUUUCAAAAUUUUAUCAUGGACGUCUCAAAACACACGUGUGACUUAGAUGGCUCUCCACGUCCUCCCCUGAUUCAGUUUUGGUGGAACUGCUUCCCUGGCCAAAGCUCAGGGGCCAGUCAGACCCUUCUCCCCAGGACUUGGGCGCAUCACCUCCUCCUGGAAGCCUUCCCUCGGCUGGGGCAGGUGCCUCUCUUCGAUGCCUGAGUUCCAGCUGUCAAAGCACUUAUAUGCCAGUAUGUUUAUCUGCCCUCUCCUUCACCCCGCCUCAGCCUUGAAAAGUGCCUGGCACAUGGUUGGUGCUCAAUAAAUGUUGGAUGAAUGA